AUACAGAGGGUGCGAGCGUUAAUCGGAAUUACUGGGCGUAAAGCGCGCGUAGGCGGAUUGGUAAGUUGGGUGUGAAAGCCCCGGGCUCAACCUGGGAAUUGCAUUCAAUACUGCCUGACUAGAGUAUGGUAGAGGGAAGCGGAAUUCCGGGUGUAGCGGUGAAAUGCGUAGAGAUCCGGAGGAACACCAGUGGCGAAGGCGGCUUCCUGGACCAAUACUGACGCUGAGGUGCGAAAGCGUGGGGAGCAAACAGGAUUAGAAACCCCGGUAGUCC
rnacentral:rRNA from 1 species